CCAUUAGAUGCUCUGGGCCGCACGUGCGCUACACUGGUCUUCGCAAACGGAUGCAUUCUCGAAGGAGAAUGCCAAUCUUGGAAUCUAUGCCUUGGUCGGGACAGUUGCUUGCAAUUUUUCGACUCGAACCAGGAAUUCCUUGUAAUCGUGAUUCAUCACAUCACGAUGAAUACGUCCCUGCCCUUUGUACACACCGCCCGUCGCUCCUACCGAUCGAAGAGUUAGGUGAAUUGUUUUGAUCGAUAAGAUUUGACUAUGGUCAACUCUCGUUGUGAAAUUCUGUGAAUCUGACUGUUUAGAGGAAGGAAAAGUCGUAACA
rnacentral:rRNA from 1 species